CAAUGUGACUGUCAAUACAAUCGCACCUGGAUUUUUCCCAACUAAAAUGACAAAAGGUUUAAUGUCAGCAAAGAAUACUG
rnacentral:tRNA from 1 species